CCUACGGGAGUCAGCAGUGAGGAAUAUUGGUCAAUGGCCGUAAGGCUGAACCAGCCAAGUCGCGUGAAGGAAGAAUGCCCUAUGGGUUGUAAACUUCUUUUAUAAGGGAAUAAAGGUAUCCACGUGUGGCUAUUUGCAUGUACCCUAUGAAUAAGCAUCGGCUAACUCCGUGUCAGCAGCCGCGGUAAUACGGAGGAUGCGAGCGUUAUCCGGAUUUAUUGGGUUUAAAGGGUGCGUAGGUUGUUUUUUAAGUCAGUGGUGAAAGUUUGUGGCUCAACCAUAAAAUUGCCGUUGAAACUGGCAGACUUGAGUGUGUUUGAGGUAGGCGGAAUGCGUGGUGUAGCGGUGAAAUGCAUAGAUAUCACGCAGAACUCCGAUUGCGAAGGCAGCUUACUAAGCCAUAACUGACACUGAAGCACGAAAGCGUGGGUAUCAAACAGGAUUAGAUACCCGUGUAGUC
rnacentral:rRNA from 1 species